GAAGAUGUGUAUGGGUCGUAUGAUGCCGUACCUCACGAGCAGUUUGCUGAGGUUCUACUACGGACUGGGAAGCUGGCUGAGACCAAGACAGAGGGACAGACCCUGUUCCCUGCCACAGAGGUACUGCUACAGCUGGCCUGUGAUGCCUUUCCCAGAGAUAUGACCCUGGCCCUGGCCUAUCUCCUGGCCCUGCCGCAGGUCCUGGAUGCUAACAGGUGUUUUGAGAAGCAGUCCCACUCGGCCCUGUCCCUGCAGCUAGCAGCCUACUACUAUAGUCUACAGAUCUACAACCACCUGGUCCCAUGCCUUAAGGCCAACACACACACUCUCU